rnacentral:rRNA from 1 species
CGAACGCUGGCGGCAUGCCUAACACAUGCAAGUCGAACGAGACCUUCGGGUCUAGUGGCGCACGGGUGCGUAACGCGUGGGAACCUGCCCUUAGGUUCGGAAUAACUCCCCGAAAGGGGUGCUAAUACCGGAUAAUGUCUUCGGACCAAAGAUUUAUCGCCUUUGGAUGGGCCCGCGUUAGAUUAGCUAGUUGGUAGGGUAAAAGCCUACCAAGGCGACGAUCCAUAGCUGGUCUGAGAGGAUGAUCAGCCACACUGGGACUGAGACACGGCCCAGACUCCUACGGGAGGCAGCAGUGGGGAAUAUUGGACAAUGGGCGAAAGCCUGAUCCAGCAAUGCCGCGUGAGUGAUGAAGGCCUUAGGGUUGUAAAGCUCUUUUACCCGGGAUGAUAAUGACAGUACCGGGAGAAUAAGCUCCGGCUAACUCCGUG